AGCUCCCUUCUGUUGACAUCAUCUGAACUAGCAACUUGGUGUCCAGAAGACAGCAACAUUGAAAGCGUGGAGGUCUCUGCAGGACAGGCUUCCAUGCAGCAUAUAGGUGCACCAGCAUUUGAGGAACUGAUGCCAACAGAUAUGCUUUACAUGCCUCUUUCGCCCGUCCACUGCUCCACCCCAGCUAGAGAAGAACUUGAUACAACCUUGGGAUCUACAUGCCAGCCUGAUCCGAAGGACGUGACGGUCCACUCAUCUGAAUUAACAGAGGGAUCAGAGACUGAAGAUGACGAAUAUGAGAAGGAACAUGAGGGACAUCAUUCUAAAUCCCAUGUGCAUCGA